rnacentral:rRNA from 1 species
AGAGUUUGAUCCUGGCUCAGAUUGAACGCUGGCGGCACGCCUAACACAUGCAAGUCGAACGGCAGCAGUAGAAAGUUUACUUCGGUAGAUUUUUUAGCUGGCGAGUGGCGGACGGGUGAGUAAUGCGUAGGAACUUGACUUAAAGAGGGGGACAACCCGGGGAAACUCGGGCUAAGACCGCAUAAAAUUCUACGGAAUAAAUUCUGGCAGCUUGCUGCUGGAGCUUUAAGAGAGGCCUACGUUGGAUUAGCUAGUUGGUAAGGUAAAGGCUUACCAAGGCGAUGAUCUAUAGCUGGUUUGAGAGGAUGGCCAGCCACACUGGGACUGAGAUACGGCCCAGACUCCUACGGGAGGCAGCAGUGGGGGAUAUUGGACAAUGGGGGCAACCCUGAUCCAGCGAUGCCGCGUGUGUGAAGAAGGCCUGAGGGUUGUAAAGCACUUUCGAUAAUGAGGAUUGAGUAUUGGUUGAAUAGACUGAUACUUUGACGUUAGUUAUAGAAGAAGCACCGGCUAACUCUGUGCCAGCAGCCGCGGUAAUACAGAGGGUGCGAGCGUUAAUCGGAUUGACUGGGCAUAAAGGGCUCGUAGGCGGUUAUUUAAGUGAGCUGUGAAAUCCAUGGGCUUAACCUGUGAUCUGCAGCUUAGACUGGAUGACUAGAGUCUAGGAGAGGAAGACGGAAUUCCCGGUGUAGCGGUGAAAUGCGUAGAUAUCGGAAGGAACACCAGUUGUGAAGACGGUUUUCUGGCCUAAGACAGACGCUGAGGUGCGAAAGCGUGGGUAGCGAACAGGAUUAGAUACCCUGGUAGUCCACGCUGUAAACGAUGAAUACUAGCUGUUGGGAGUGGAAGAGCUCUAAGUAGCGAAGCAAACGCGCUAAGUAUUCCGCCUGGGGAUUACGGCCGCAAGGCUAAAACUCAAAGGAAUUGACGGGGGCCCGCACAAGCGGUGGAGCAUGUGGUUUAAUUCGAUUCAACGCGAAGAACCUUACCCACUUUUGACAUCUGUGGAAGUACUGAGAGAUUGGUAUGUGCCCGAGAGGGAACUACAAGACAGGUGCUGCAUGGCUGUCGUCAGCUCGUGUUGUGAGAUGUUGGGUUAAGUCCCGUAACGAGCGCAACCCCUAUACUUAGUUGCCAGCAAGUAAAGUUGGGGACUCUAAGUAGACUGCCGGUGAUAAACCGGAGGAAGGUGGGGACGACGUCAAGUCAUCAUGGCCUUUAUAAGUGGGGCUACACACGUGCUACAAUGGGUGUUACAGAGGGAGGCAAAGCAGAGAUGUGGAGCGGAACUCAGAAAGGCACUCGUAGUCCGGAUUGAAGUCUGCAAUUCGACUUCAU